UCUCUCUCUCUCUCUCUCUCUCUAUAUAUAUAUAUAUAUAUAUAUGGUAGGGCUACUAUAUUCUUAUGAGUAUAGAGCCCUUCGUACUCAUAAGUUGUUUCGAUAAUGGAGCUUCUGAAUUGAUAAUCUAUUAUGUUAAAUAUAAUCUAGAGUAUUUGAAACUUCUAAAAAAUAAAUUUAGUAAUUUUUCGAAAUCAUAAUAAAGUCCAUCAAGCGGGUAUAAAAUGAAUGGUCAAAAUUGAAUGACGUUCUAAAAAUGAAUAAUAGAAUUUUUCAAUUUAAGAUCGGAGUUAUUAAUUUUUAUUUAGAGUGAAUAGAAUUUCCUAUCAAAAAUUCAACAUAUUUCAAUUCUUAAUUUUACACCGUUAAACUAGCAAGUAUUACAUACCGGCAGUUAAAAAUUAUUAAUUUUGAGAUCUUUUGAUCGUAAGGUAAAUAAUGUCAAAAAGUUAUAAAAUUUGAUUUCUAAAACUUUUAAAUGCUCUAGAUAACGUUUAACGGUAUGGAUCGUCGAUUAGAAAGUUCUAUCAUCGAAAACGACUUAUGAGUACGAAGGCGAUCAUACUCAUAAGAAUAUAAUAGCUGAAUUCUCUCUCUCU
rnacentral:lncRNA from 1 species